AGUAGUUUGCAGUCACUCCCUAGGAGAAGGGAGGUGUGUUUGGGAUCUACAGUGCUAAGUAGCCUGCAGGUGCACCCUAUGAAGAGGGAGUUUGAGCUGGUAAACCCAGGGGAGAGCCAGAAGGUAGGGCUGAUAAGUAAGAAGGAGUCCAGUGAAAGCACAGCAGGGUCUGAGGGAAAACUGGCAACAGUUGCAGAUAUAAAUCCCUGGAUUAGAACCUGGAGUAGUGGGCGGGCCCAGGUUCCCCUCGCAGUCACUGGGGAAGUGGCACAGAUCAGGCAGUGGAGCAUAGACUGCCUAGGACAGUUGUCCAGAGAGACUUUUGUUAACCUGAAAGGGGAGGACUAUAGUGACCUGGCUGAAGGGCUGAAUCAUGAAGGAGCACCCUGAGUCAGAGAGAGAGCAAGGAACUAACAGGAGAGGAUGUCACACCUGGAACCAGCUAAUCCCCAGAGCAACCAGAAGGAGGUGUUCCAAUGUGCGUUUGCAAGUGGCUGGUUGCAAUGAGGUGAAAAUCCUUGUUCCUGGGCCUGUGGGGAGCUUGUAACACGCAGUGCAGAACUGACAAUGUCACCGAGCUUCCAGACUACAGAUUUCAUCUGUGAAGUAACUCUGUCCAGAAGGCGUGGUACCUCUGCCAGCGGACUAAUACUUUGACAACCUUAAUGGACUAUAAACCAGUUAACAGAAGUUCAGGGCAAUUAGUAAUUUCCCUGCAAAAAGCUGCUGCAGUUUGCUGGAUGGUCUUCAUCCCACAUAUCAUCACUGCAGUCAGAUUUACCACCUGUGUUUGGCUGACCAGUUCAGAAAACAAAAGAUAAGACUCUUGCUUAAUUGACUUGAUGCUACAAAGUCAUUCAGAAAAAAUGUCUAUGUAUUUUUAUGAUAAUACUCUCAUGUCAUUAUUUGGCCAGAAUAAGUAUGCAGUGAACAAAUAUAAACUUAGACAAACUUAGUCCAGAUCCCAAUGGUUUAAGCACAUCCCACUGGAUGAGGAGAGCUCUUAGUAACUUACAGCUAAGGUAUGUCUCCGCUCAAGCUAGAGGUGUAAGUUCCAGCUCAGGUAACUGUAUCUGUGCUAGCUUUGAUGGAGCUAACACUCUAACACUAGCAGUAUACUCAUGGCCCGCAGGUAGCGGGAUGGGAUAUCUGCCAUGGGUAAGUACCUAGGAUUCCAGACAGCAUUAUACUCAGGGCAGCUAGCCCAUCCCGCCACCUGCGCCACUGCGACUACACUUCUGUUUUUAGUAUGUUAGCUUGAUCAAAACUAGCGUGCAUACGUCUCAUUGAGCUGGAAAUUGCACGCACAGCUCGUGUGGAGUUGUGCCCUUACAGCUGUCCAGAGAAUGACAAGUCUGCUUCAUGACAACUUUUGAGGUUUCGAAAUUUGUUUUCGUUCCACAAAAAAAAGGUUUUAGAACAUUUUCACAGAACAGAAAUUAGUUGAAAUGGCUGUUUUCAGAAAUCUCUCUGUCUCUCUCUCUCUAUGAUCAGAAGUGAUCCAAGGGCUCUGGCCCUCAAAAACCUUCCUGACAAAAAUGUCAUUGAAACCAAUAUGUCUGCAAUAAACAUUUUGGCUUUGUUAAAACCUCAUUGGUUGAAAAUGUUCUGACCAGCUCUGCUUACACUUAUCAUAUUCAUCUCACUGGUGCCUUGUAUUUCUCUGUAUGAUUGUUGUAUCCACUUGUCUCUCAUCUUAUACUAGGUUUGGAAUCUGUAUGGGACUGAUGCUGUCUUUUUGUUUUAUGUGUGUAUGGUGCCUACCACCGUGAGGCUCCGAUCCCCUAUUGAGACCUCUAGGAUUUGCCACCAUACAAAUAAUAAAUAAUAAUGAUUGUGCAAAAUCUGAUGCAAAGCAAAGUGAGGAAGAAGGCAGAGGGAGAAAAGCCAAAAACAACAAUAUGAACAGGAGCUGACCAAUAGUUAAUAAAAUAACCAAUUAAAGGAGUUUAAUACGUUCUUUCUUUCUUUCUU